AGAGUUUGAUCAUGGCUCAGAACGAACGCUGGCGGCGCGUUUUAAGCAUGCAAGUCGAGCGGCAAGGGUCUUCGGGCCCCUAGAGCGGCGGACGGGUGAGUAACACGUGGACAAUCUGCCCCCCGGCCGGGGAUAGCCCAGGGAAACCUGGAUUAAUACCGGAUGAGACGGGACCCGCGGAGGCGGGAUCCGGGAAAGGCGCUGCGGCGCCGCCGGGGGAUGAGUCUGCGUCCCAUUAGCUUGACGGCGGGGUAACGGCCCACCGUGGCGACGAUGGGUAGCCGGCCUGAGAGGGUGGACGGCCACAUUGGAACUGAGACACGGUCCAGACUCCUACGGGAGGCAGCAGCUAAGAAUCUUCCGCAAUGGGCGAAAGCCUGACGGAGCGACGCCGCGUGAACGAAGAAGGCCGUGAGGUUGUAAAGUUCUUUUCGGGAGGGGGAACAACCGUGGCAGGGAAUGGCCGCGAGAUGACGUGAAUCCCGGAAUAAGCCCCGGCUAACUACGUGCCAGCAGCCGCGGUAACACGUAGGGGGCGAGCGUUGUUCGGAAUCAUUGGGCGUAAAGGGCGUGCAGGCGGUCCUGCAAGUCCGGCGUGAAAGACCCCGGCCCAACCGGGGGGGCGCGCUGGAAACUGCAGGGCUUGAGUACAGGAGGGGAUGCCGGAAUUCCAGGUGUAGGGGUGAAAUCUGUAGAUAUCUGGAGGAACACCAAUGGCGAAGGCAGGCAUCUGGCCAUGUACUGACGCUGAGACGCGAAGGUGCGGGGAGCAAACAGGAUUAGAUACCCUGGUAGUC
rnacentral:rRNA from 1 species